rnacentral:tRNA from 2 species
AGUAAAAUGGCUGAUAAAAGCAAUAAAUUGUAAAUUUAUUUAUAAAUAUUAAUAUUUUUUUACU